UCAGUUCGGAUUGGGCUCUGCCCCUCGACCCCAUGAAGUCGGAGUCGCUAGUAAUCGCACAUCCGCAUUGCUGCGGUGAAUACGUUCCCGGGCCUUGUACACAGCGCCCGGCACGUCAGGAAAGUCGGUAACACCCGAAGCCGGUGGCCCACCCCCUUGUGGGAGGGAGCUGCGGAAGGUGGGACUGGCGAUUGGAAUGAAGUCCUAACAAGGUAGCCGUACCGGAAGGUGCGGAUGGAUCACCUCCU
rnacentral:rRNA from 1 species